rnacentral:rRNA from 1 species
GUACACUCCUACGGGAGGCAGCAGUGGGGAAUUUUGGACAAUGGGCGAAAGCCUGAUCCAGCAAUGCCGCGUGAGUGAAGAAGGCCUUCGGGUUGUAAAGCUCUUUUGUCAGGGAAGAAACGGUGAGAGCUAAUAUCUCUUGCUAAUGACGGUACCUGAAGAAUAAGCACCGGCUAACUACGUGCCAGCAGCCGCGGUAAUACGUAGGGUGCAAGCGUUAAUCGGAAUUACUGGGCGUAAAGCGUGCGCAGGCGGUUUUGUAAGUCUGAUGUGAAAUCCCCGGGCUCAACCUGGGAAUUGCAUUGGAGACUGCAAGGCUAGAAUCUGGCAGAGGGGGGUAGAAUUCCACGUGUAGCAGUGAAAUGCGUAGAUAUGUGGAGGAACACCGAUGGCGAAGGCAGCCCCCUGGGUCAAGAUUGACGCUCAUGCACGAAAGCGUGGGGAGCAAACAGGAUUAGAUACCCCAGUAGUCCCAUG